rnacentral:rRNA from 1 species
GUGCCAGCAGCCGCGGUAAUUCCAGCUCCAAUAGCGUAUAUUAAAGUUGUUGCGGUUAAAAAGCUCGUAGUUGGAUCUCGGCGGGCAGGGGGUGGUUCGCUCUUCAGCGCUACUGCCCCGCUUUGCCCGUGUGAUUGGCGGAGGUUUCGGGGUGCUCUUCGUUGAGUGACUCGGAGCGCCGUCAGGUUUACUUUGAAAAAAUUAGAGUGCUCAAAGCAGGCUUUUCACGCUUGAAUAUUCGUGCAUGGAAUAAUGGAAUAGGAACUCGUUUCUAUUUUGUUGGUUUUCGGAAAUCGAGUUAAUGAUUAACAGGGACAAUUGGGGGCAUUAGUAUUCAGACGACAGAGGUGAAAUUCUUGGACCGUCUGAAGACUGACUACUGCGAAAGCAUUUGCCAAGAGUGUUUUCAUUAAUCAAGAACGAAAGUUAGAGGUUCGAAGGCGAUCAGAUACCGCCCUAGUUCUAACCAUAAACGAUGCCAGCUAGCGAUCUGCCGAGUUUUUUUUGUAGGCUCCGCAGGAAGCUUUCGGGAAACCAAAGCUUUUGGGUUCCGGGGGAAGUAUGGUUGCAAAGCUGAAACUUAAAGGAAUUGACGGAAGGGCACCACCAGGAGUGGAGCCUGCGGCUUAAUUUGACUCAACACGGGAAAUCUCACCAGGCCCGGACACUGGAAGGAUUGACAGAUUGAGAGCUCUUUCUCGAUUCGGUGGGUGGUGGUGCAUGGCCGUUCUUAGUUGGUGGAGUGAUUUGUCUGGUUAAUUCCGAUAACGAACGAGACUCUGUCCUGCUAAAUAGUUGGGUCGUCCUUCGUGCGAUCCAAGUUCUUCUUAGAGGGACUGGCUGCGUCUAGCAGCACGAGAUUGAGCAAUAACAGGUCUGUGAUG